rnacentral:rRNA from 1 species
CGAACGCUGGCGGCGUGGAUAAGACAUGCAAGUCGAACGGGAGAAUUGCUAGCUUGCUAAUAAUUCUCUAGUGGCGCACGGGUGAGUAACACGUGAGUAACCUGCCUCUUAGUGGGGGAUAGCCCUGGGAAACCGGGAUUAAUACCGCAUACGAUUGAAAGAUCAAAGCAGCAAUGCGCUAGGAGAUGGGCUCGCGGCCUAUUAGUUAGUUGGUGAGGUAACGGCUCACCAAGGCGAUGACGGGUAGCCGGUCUGAGAGGAUGUCCGGCCACACUGGAACUGAGACACGGUCCAGACACCUACGGGUGGCAGCAGUCGAGAAUCAUUCACAAUGGGGGCAACCCUGAUGGUGCGACGCCGCGUGGGGGAAUGAAGGUCUUCGGAUUGUAAACCCCUGUCAUGUGGGAGCAAAUUAAAAAGAUAGUACCACAAGAGGAAGAGACGGCUAACUCUGUGCCAGCAGCCGCGGUAAUACAGAGGUCUCAAGCGUUGUUCGGAAUCACUGGGCGUAAAGCGUGCGUAGGCUGUUUCGUAAGUCGUGUGUGAAAGGCAGGGGCUCAACCCCUGGAUUGCACAUGAUACUGCGAGACUAGAGUAAUGGAGGGGGAACCGGAAUUCUCGGUGUAGCAGUGAAAUGCGUAGAUAUCGAGAGGAACACUCGUGGCGAAGGCGGGUUCCUGGACAUUAACUGACGCUGAGGCACGAAGGCCAGGGGAGCGAAAGGGAUUAGAUACCCCUGUAGUCCUGGCAGUAAACGGUGCACGCUUGGUGUGCGGGGAAUCGACCCCCUGCGUGCCGGAGCUAACGCGUUAAGCGUGCCGCCUGGGGAGUACGGUCGCAAGAUUAAAACUCAAAGAAAUUGACGGGGACCCGCACAAGCGGUGGAGUAUGUGGCUUAAUUCGAUGCAACGCGAAGAACCUUACCUGGGCUUGACAUGUAAUGAACAACAUGUGAAAGCAUGCGACUCUUCGGAGGCGUUACACAGGUGCUGCAUGGCCGUCGUCAGCUCGUGUCGUGAGAUGUUUGGUUAAGUCCAGCAACGAGCGCAACCCCUGUUGCCAGUUACCAGCACGUCAAGGUGGGGACUCUGGCGAGACUGCCCAGAUCAACUGGGAGGAAGGUGGGGACGACGUCAGGUCAGUAUGGCCCUUAUGCCCAGGGCUGCACACGUACUACAAUGCCCAGUACAGAGGGGGCCGAAGCCGCGAGGCGGAGGAAAUCCUGAAAACUGGGCCCAGUUCGGACUGUAGGCUGCAACCCGCCUACACGAAGCCGGAAUCGCUAGUAAUGGCGCAUCAGCUACGGCGCCGUGAAUACGUUCCCGGGUCUUGUACACACCGCCCGUCACAUCAUGGAAGCCGGUCGCACCCGAAGUAUCUGAAGCCAACCGCAAGGAGGCAGGGUCCUAAGGUGAGACUGGUAACUGGG